GGGACAUUUUCGUGCAGCCGCGCGCUCCCUGCCCUCCCCGCCCACCCGGCCAGGCCCAAUUUUGAAACCCCAAAUCCCCAACACCUUCAGCCCCUCGUGCGCCCGUGGACCGCCAGAUCCCCACGGCCGCCGAGGCACUCUCCUCCUUGCACCGAGUACUCUCCUUGCACCCCCUCUCAUGCCCGCAUCUUCAGAAGCCGCGGGCGCUCUCGGCGGCGGGGGAGACGUCGAGCAGGACUACGAGAUUCGCAACGACGAGGGCUUUGUCUACAAGGUUCCCAGAGGGCUCUACCACGAGGCCGCACCCUCCACCACCCAGUCGGCGGCGGGCACCGACCCCAAGGCCGCCGGCCUGCGCCGCCGCUGCCGCGCGCUCCUCCGCCUCCGCGCCAAGCGCCUCCGCGACCUCUCCCGCUGGGAGGCCCUCGCCUCCGAACUCUUCGCCCCGCUUUCCGCUCCCCAGCCACCGGCUCCACCAUCCCAAGCCCCUCCCGCCUCAUCUCAUUCAGUCGCUGCCUCCUCCUCCUCCUCCCCGACCUCCGUUCUUGACGAGCUCCUCGCACAGGUUGACAUUCAGGCGGAGCUGAUGAAGAAGGUGCACCAGUGGUGCGACGAGGCCAACGCCAUUUGCGACGCAGGAGAGUCUGCCAUCGUUGCUUCUAUGGUUGCGCUGCCGUUGUGGGGUGGCAACCCAGCGGAUCUGGUAACGGCGCUGUGCAGCCCUGAUGAAAAGGCCCAUGGACCAUAAAAGACCAAAACACCUCUCCUAAUGAUUCCUAUCCAUGCUCGGCCUUUACCACAAGCCGAGACUUUUGACAAGGAUCAUGAUUGGAAAAUUCAUGCAAAGAAACUUCGUGGUGAACGUCGGCCUUGUGUUUGCUCACUAUGCAAUAGUGACCACUACACCCCCCUGUCAAAUUGUAACUUGGAUGGACAGAGUGGGCGCCAAGUAGCUUCUGGACUGUCUUCAGCAGCUGCUGAAAUGAUAAAAAAUAGUGCCAAGAAACAAACAAUGGGUCAUGACCUUCCUCACAAUCUCACUGAGAGCAGGAUGAUGAAAAGAGUAACUAACCUUUCAGGCCCCAAUAUUGUUGCAUCACAAGCCUCUAAUGAACGAAAGAGGAAGAAGGCGUCAGGGAGAGCAUCUACUGCCUCACGUACUCCAGGAUCAACGACGAGAAGGAAGGCCGCGUCCACUCCAACAAGAGAUCCAGCGGCAUUUUCUAGCCCUGGGCCACUAACCAGGAGAAGGGCAGCAGCUCUAAAUGUAUCACCACUCGGGGAGGCUCAUAAUAGUCAACAGGUCUUGUAAUCUGGAUUGGGGAGAGUAGGAAAGGUGAGAAUAUGUGUUUGUACACAAGUGUUGUUUGCUGCUGCUGUACCUAGAAAACUAGGGGAUUUUUUUUGCUAGUGAUAAGCCAUCAACUGUCAUCUUGUGUACUACCUUCGUUCUCGAAUAUUUGUCGUCAGCUAGUUCAUUUUUUAACUAAACGGCGACAAAUAAAAAAGAACGGAGGGAGUAAUUGUGAAGUUCCAGCCGCAGAUGGUAUUUAUCAAGUACUGCUGUAUUGGUGGUGACUAGUGAGUCGUUCAUAUAAGUGCAUGUCUGCUCCUUGGAAACACUGAUCAUGUAUGUAAUGGCUGUUAGUUCUCUGGAUUUCACAGGACAUGCCAACAGUGUAUUCUAUCUAUGUUUCAAAUGGAGGCUGUUGUAUU